GUGAGGAAUUUUCCGCAAUGGGCGAAAGCCUGACGGAGCAAUGCCGCGUGAAGGAUGAAGGCCUAUGGGUUGUAAACUUCUUUUCUCAGAAAAGAAUUAUGACGGUAUCUGAGGAAUAAGCAUCGGCUAACUCUGUGCCAGCAGCCGCGGUAAGACAGAGGAUGCAAGCGUUAUCUGGAAUGAUUGGGCGUAAAGCGUCUGUAGGUUGUUUAAAAAGUAUUCUGUCAAAGAUUAGGGCUUAACCCUAGAUAGGCAGAAUAAACUUUUAAGCUAGAGUUUGGUAGAGGCAGAGGGAAUUCCCGGUGGAGCGGUGAAAUGCGUAGAUAUCGGGAGGAACACCAAAGGCGAAGGCACUCUGCUGGGCCAAUACUAACACUGAGAGACGAAAGCGAGGGGAGCAAAUGGGAUUAGAUACCCGAGUAGUCC
rnacentral:rRNA from 1 species